rfam:Diaporthe ampelina DA_912_scaffold_v01_177, whole genome shotgun sequence.
GGACCGUUGGCCCAAUGGCAAGGCGUCUGACUACGAAUCAGGAGAUUGCAGGUUCGAUCCCUGCACGGUUCA